rnacentral:rRNA from 1 species
AUCACGGGUUGUGGUUUUAAGUGGAUUUGGAAAGCUAAAAUUCCUUCUAAAAUCCAGAUCUUCCUUUGGCAACAUUUUCAAUAUGCCGUGUUGACUAGGGAUGUUAUGAGCAGGAGAAAUUGGACGGGGAAUCCGCGCUGCUCUUUUUGCAGCGAGAAAGACAUGUCCCAGCAUCUCUUCUUAUGCCCAUUGGCUAGGAUGAUUUGGAGAACUGUGAGAUCAGUCUUUGGCACCGAGUUGUGCCCUAACAACAUUUGGUAG